ACUUAGCGGCGGACGGGUGAGUAACGCGUGGGCAACCUGCCUUACACAGGGGGAUAACAAUUAGAAAUGAUUGCUAAUACCGCAUAAGACCCCAGUACCGCAUGGUACAGGGGUAAAAACUGAGGUGGUGUAAGAUGGGCCCGCGUCUGAUUAGGUAGUUGGUGGGGUAGAAGCCUACCAAGCCGACGAUCAGUAGCCGACCUGAGAGGACGACCGGCCACAUUGGGACUGAGACACGGCCCAAACUCCUACGGGAGGCAGCAG
rnacentral:rRNA from 1 species